rnacentral:rRNA from 1 species
UACGGAGGGUGCAAGCGUUAAUCGGAAUUACUGGGCGUAAAGCGCACGCAGGUGGCUGAGUCAGUCGAUUGUGAAAGCCCCGGGCUCAACCUGGGAAUGGCCGUUGAAACUGGCGAACUGGAGUGUGGCAGAGGGGGGUGGAAUUCCGCGUGUAGCAGUGAAAUGCGUAGAGAUGCGGAGGAACACCGAUGGCGAAGGCAGCCCCCUGGGCUAACACUGACGCUCAGGCACGAAAGCGUGGGGAGCAAACAGG